UACAGAGGGGGCGAGCGUUGUUCGGAAUUACUGGGCGUAAAGGGCGCGUAGGCGGCCUCUUAAGUCGAACGUGAAAUCCCCGGGCUCAACCCGGGAACUGCGUCCGAUACUGGGGGGCUUGAAUCCGGGAGAGGGAUGUGGAAUUCCAGGUGUAGCGGUGGAAUGCGCAGAUAUCAGGAGGAACACCGAUGGACGAAGGCAGGUCUCUGGGCACUUACUGGACGCUAGGAGCGAAAGCGUGGG
rnacentral:rRNA from 1 species